GACGAACGCUGGCGGCGUGCUUAACACAUGCAAGUCGAGCGGUAAGGCCUCUUCUGGGGUACACGAGCGGCGCACGGGUGAGUAACACGUGGGUGACCUGCCCUCAGCUCUGGGAUAAGCCUGGGAAACUGGGGCUAAUACCGGGUAUGACCUUUCCUCGCAUGGGGUUUGGUGGAAAGUUUUUUCGGCUGGGGAUGGGCUCGCGGCCUAUCAGCUUGUUGGUGGGGUGAUGGCCUACCAAGGCGACGACGGGUAGCCGGCCUGAGAGGGCGACCGGCCACACUGGGACUGAGACCCGGACCAGUAUCCGACGGGGGGGAGCAGUGGGGAAUAUUGCGGAAUGGGCGGAAGCCUGGCGCAGCCACGCCGCGGGGGGGAUGACGGCCUUCGGGUUGUAAACCUCUUUCGAACCCGGCGUAUUUGGACGGUAGGGGGAGAAGAAGCACCGGCUAACUACGUG
rnacentral:rRNA from 1 species